rnacentral:lncRNA from 1 species
UCAUAGUGCAUAUAAUAAAAUUCCAGCAGAGCGAAAAUGACUGUUAGAUACAAUAGAACACUCUAAGAGUCAUUAUCAAAAAUGAGCAUAUCAGUGUGUAAAAUGUAUGGUAGUUUUAUUUAACGGUUGUUUCAUUGUUUACCGUAGUGUUUUUUCUUACAAUUUUAAAAGAAAAGAAAAUUGACUUGUUUAGUGGAUAUAGAAACUUGAAACUAGACCAUGUACUGGAAACAAUUCAGUAUGCCUACAAAAGUUGGUCUCCAGCACAAAACAAUAAAACAUCAAAUGGUUAUGUCUUAGGCAGAUCAAAUAGUGUUAGGAUGACACUUGCAAAACCUUGCAAACUGAGUCCACAUGAGGAGCCAGAUAAUCAAGAUUCCUUAGAUGAGCAUAAGUCCUCUUCAACAGAAGAUGCCACAUUAUGUCCUCAUCCAACAGGAUUUAUGUAUGAACAG